GGUUCAUUCAAAUUUCUGCCCUAUCAACUUUCGAUUGUUGUGUAUUGGACAACAAUGGUGACAACGGGUAACGGAGGGUUAGGGCUCGACCCCGGAGAAGGAGCCUGAGAAACGGCUACUACAUCCAAGGAAGGCAGCAGGCGCGCAAAUUACCCAAUCCCAACCGGGGAGGUAGUGACAAUAAAUACUGAUACAGGGCUCUUUUGGGUCUUGUAAUUGGAAUGAGUACAAUUUAAAUCCCUUAACGAGGAACAAUUGGAGGGCAAGUCUGGUGCCAGCAGCCGCGGUAAUUCCAGCUCCAAUAGCGUAUAUUAAAGUUGUUGUGGUUAAAAAGCUCGUAGUUG
rnacentral:rRNA from 1 species